GAUGAACGCUGGCGGCGUGCCUAAUACAUGCAAGUCGAGCGAACAGACGAGGAGCUUGCUCCUCUGACGUUAGCGGCGGACGGGUGAGUAACACGUGGAUAACCUACCUAUAAGACUGGGAUAACUUCGGGAAACCGGAGCUAAUACCGGAUAAUAUAUUGAACCGCAUGGUUCAAUAGUGAAAGACGGUUUUGCUGUCACUUAUAGAUGGAUCCGCGCCGCAUUAGCUAGUUGGUAAGGUAACGGCUUACCAAGGCAACGAUGCGUAGCCGACCUGAGAGGGUGAUCGGCCACACUGGAACUGAGACACGGUCCAGACUCCGACGGGAGGCAGCAGUAGGGAAUCUUACGCAAUGGGCGAAAGCCUGACGGAGCAACGCCGCGGGAGUGAUGAAGGUCUUCGGAUCGUAAAACUCUGUUAUUAGGGAAGAACAAAUGUGUAAGUAACUAUGCACGUCUUGACGGUACCUAAUCAGAAAGCCACGGCUAACUACGUG
rnacentral:rRNA from 1 species